ncrna:unclassified sequences pemK RNA
ACAAUGAAACUUCCGUAACUCGCGGCCCGGCCACAAAGAAGGCGGGGUGGCUGAAACGCCAAUGA